rfam:Triticum aestivum genome assembly, contig: Triticum_aestivum_CS42_TGACv1_scaffold_405445_5BL
UGGCGAUGAUUCUAAAUUUAAGACUUGUUUCUCAAAACAUUCACAGUUGCCGCCUACCAGCUUUCGCCUUGCCAGGCUUGAGAGCUGAUGCUGCUAAUUCCUUGGAUGUCUGGGCAU